rnacentral:rRNA from 1 species
UACGUAGGGGGCAAGCGUUGUCCGGAAUCAUUGGGCGUAAAGAGCGCGUAGGCGGCCCGAUAAGUCCGCUGUGAAAGUCAAGGGCUCAACCCUUGAAUGCCGGUGGAUACUGUCGGGCUAGAGUCCGGAAGAGGCGAGUGGAAUUCCUGGUGUAGCGGUGAAAUGCGCAGAUAUCAGGAGGAACACCAACGGCGAAGGCAGCUCGCUGGGACGGUACUGACGCUGAGGCGCGAAGGCGUGGGGAGCAAACAGG